GGCGGACCAAUCACACUGUAGACUCGAUGUAUAUGGCUAGACUCGGAGGGUGGACCAGGUGGAUUGUAGGCCGGUGCGGCAGACCAGUCACACAGUAGACCCGAAGUGCAUGGCUGUUCUGUUCUGUGUUAUGAUAUGUUAUGAAUUGUGUAUGGUAUUGUGGUUGGUAUUUUGGGGGUAUAUCACUAAGCUUUCGGGCUUACAGUUGUGGUUUAAAUGUUUCAGGUACUUCAGGAGACCGUGGCAAGGCAAAUGCAUGAUCGUACCGCUCCUCGUGUUUUAUGUGUUUAUGAUGUGGUUCUAGGAAAUACUCUGAUAAUAAAUGUAUUGAAAACCUUUUUGUAAUAACUUUAUGAAAUUAGGUUGUUUUUGAAAAUUUUAAAUUGGUUGGAAUUUUUAGAGUGUUACAAUAAAUAAGAGUUGCGGACAAAAUUUCGGGACUUACGGAGUAUUGAGGAGGAAGAUAUCAAAGAAAUGAAGAUUUUGGCUUUUCAGAGGUUUACACGGCCGUGUAAAUGUUUACACGGGCCGUGUAAACGAAGUCUCUCGAGCAUUGUACUUUGAAAGCCUGACCAAUUUUCUCAGUAUACCUUUUGCAUUUACACGGCCGUGUAAACGUGGUCACUGGUUUAAAACAGUUUUUCUUCUUUCUAAAAAGCAGCAACCGGUUCCAGAAAAAAGGGGGUCGAUUUUGUGAGUUCUAGAGGCGAUUUUGGGGAGCUUUUUGAAGAAAAUUGUUACUUGAAAACACUUGGGAACAUUUGAUUUCAUUUUGUAAGAACUUUAAUUUCAUUUUCUAGAUUUGUGAUCUUGUUCUAGUCAUGAGUGGCUNCAUGAGUGGCUAGAACCCUAAAUUCUCCAACUUUAUGUCUUGACAUUUGGAUGUGAUUUCAAUCAUAUGACUUGAUGUUUGCUUUCAAUUUUCUAUCUAGUGAAUUUGAUUUUGUCUCAAUCGAAUGUUUGAUUUUAAUUGUGAUUCUUAUUGGUCAUUUGAAUUAGGGUUAGGUCAUUCAAGUUAUCUAAUUGCAGAAUCCGUAAUAGUUUUGUAAAUUGGACUAGGUAACAAGCACUAAUUGGAUUUCUACUGAAUGAAUUUAGUGUAAAUCUUUUCACACACUUUUACACUCCCGAUCUUGUGAGGAGUAUUGAGUGUUGUUGGGAACAUUCACAUAAAGCUUAAAGCAACCUUUCAAUCCAAUUCUAAGAGCUUGUUUAGAUUAGGUUAGUAAGGUUAGGAUUAAUCAAAGAGCUUGUUUUGGUUAAUUAUUGUGGUGAAUGGGAAGUGUUAGAGCUUGUUAACACUUUCAAGUACCAACUUAGAUAGAAUUAAACAAAUAUCUUGUCAUCCAUGGAAUCACAUUGCUAAUUUGUCUUGCAUAGAGUUGGAGUUCUCACAAAUCCUGAAUUUGUUUCAUUUAAUUGAUCAUUUACUUAUUGCUUUAUUCUUUUGUUUAAAUCAUUGCAUACCAACCCCCAUUUAUGUGACCAUUAUUGUACCUUCUGCAAAAAGGUAUAAGCACUUGUUCGGUGUCUCUGUGGAUCGACCCUGCUUACCUUGUAUUACAUUUUUUGUGCAAAGUAACAGUGUUUUGGAGUCAUUUUGUACCCAUUUAUUUGUUGGGUUUGACAUGCCUAACAUAUAUAUUAUACUAUUAUUUAGUUUUAUAUACAUAUGUGACUUAAGGCGACAUUUUGCAAAGCUUGGUGGCAAGUACACGCCUUAAAGCCAUGGCGCGCCAUAACGAAGCCAUGAUGAGCUUUUUAGAACAUUGCUUAAUAUUAAUGAUGUUUGCAAGCCCAUAGUGGUUGUACAAGUUGGUACUUUGGGAAGCCACUUGUUUAAUUGCAAUUAGAAUGGCUUAACGUGGGAAUAAAAUUGCGUUGGUAUUCUUCCCAAGUAGAACGCGACGUAUAAUGUAAGUAUGAUAUCAAAAACAAGAAAUCGCCAAAAAUGUGAUGUGUAUGGCCGAUGCGUCACCCAACGCAUAAUGUAUAGAAGCAUUUCUAUUUCAUGGGGUUUGACACAUCCGUUUGCCCUGAUUUGAGGAGAACUUUCUCUUUAGAAUGGAGUUGUUUUGAGAGCUAGAAGUUGAAACGAGUUACCGGAAACACAAAUACCUUAUAUUUUCAUUUUGUAUUUUGAAACUAUUUGUCAUAUAACUUAAUUGCUAGUUGCUUAAUAUGCAUAUACUUUUUGCAUUCAUGAAACAAGAUUUCGAAAAUGAUUUGAUAGCAAAAAGCUAAUACUUGUUUUGAAAGUGGUUUUGACAUCAAACCACGUUUCCACAGCUUCUCAAGACUUCGACCACAAGACUUUGACCGCAAAGGGGGAUCCUUCGAGUCGCUUUCUUGAUCUAAUAGUUUCAUUCAACCUGUCCGAUUUUACAAGGAAAACCCUAACACAACUUUACCAACACGUUUUCAAGCUCAUUAGAUUAUUGGGUAGUUUAUAACUUAGGGUUAGACUUUAGAGUAAUGUGGCUUUAUCCAAUAGAUAAUAUCAUAUACUAGAUAACAACCAUAAUAUAUCCAAUAGAUAAAAUUAAAGAUAACAACAAACACGACUCAAGAUGUACAAUAACACGCUGCUAACUACCAUAAAUAACACAUACAAGAAAGAACAAAAUAGCACAACCGAAUCCUCCACCACCCACAACCACCAAACUAUUGACAACCCUCUCAAGUACACCAUACUUUUCAACUACUUUUAUCAACUUCUGUUCUUGCAAUGAGUGUUUUGGUGUAAACCCGGUGCCUUCUUUCUCUUCCAUAAACAACCCAAAACACAAGUGACAGCAACACCGCCAGUGACACCAUCAGCAACCCGAUAUAUAUCCAGUUGCUGUAUCGCCGGAGACCCGGGCAAUAUUCAUGGGAGAUUUCAGUGAAAGUUUGUCUCACAAAAGUGCAGUCUUGAAGCUCUACUAGAAAAGGCCCAUAGAGGUAGAGACUAUAGCUCAGCUUUAUGCCGCCAGCCAUUUGGCUGUAGAAAUCCGGCGUCAGGCGGCCCGUGGUGGUGCAAAUGCCACUUGGAGAUACUUGACACACAAAUUGACUAUAUACCUGCCACCAAUCAAUACGAUUAAAAGCAAUAUACUUAUUAUAAUAUAACAUUGGUUAUAAGGUGAUAAAACUUUUCAUUCUUUUAACCAAUGUAUGAAGAAGUUGUUAUAAGUAAAUAUACCUGUGUGGCAUUGAUCAACGCGACUUCUUUAGGAUCACAAACUCGAUCAGUGAAAUCGGGUCUGUGGGGAUUGCAAAGGAGUGGAACCAACGGCCCAGAUUGAUUGAAAUAAAGUGGGGUGAAAUUUGGGGCGAAAUUAAUAUUUGAGAUAUUUGUGAUAACUUGGUUGAUGACAUUGACUAAUUGCGAAGUAACCUCUUUGCUCCGAAUUGAAGUUUCUUGAGCUGUGGCAUUGUCUACACAUGGAAGAAUAUCAUCCAAAGCCGUAUGAGCAGUUGGGUUCUCAACCCAUUCAUUCAUCGACACACAAGUGUCUGAAGUCACGCUAAUUCAACACAAACAAGAAGUAAAACAUUACAAAUCGAAAACUGUUAUACAAAUCGUUCGACCUCAUCAAUUGGGGGAAAUUACCAAAAUUAAUCAAUUUGGAGAAGUACCCAAUUACGAAAGUAGUAAAGUUCAAUGACGAAGAAAUUACAAACGAAGUGAAAUUGUGUUGCUAAUUAUCCCAAAAAAGAACAAUUUUGCUUGCUAAAUCGUAAUUAUGAGUAAGAAAAUAGACUUACUUGUGGAGAACAAGGAACACGCCGCAUAAUACAAAGGUUAACGUGACAAGAAUCCAUCCGAAAAUCACCAAGCUACAAUGAUUCAGAACAAAAUAUUCAAUUGAUGAAAAAAAUGGAUGAUAUUCAUUCGAUAUAAUUAAACAUAAGUAUGUAACUCACGUGUAAACCAUACAUUGCAUCCCAAAGAUCGAAAACACUGCAAAGCAAAAACGAGAUCAAAGAAAGAAAAACAAUGUAUCAAGGCUACGUUUGUAAUGCAAUUUUCAAUGAUGAAAAUGACAAGGGCAUUUACGUCUUUUCCACAGAAUACAAAAGGAAACUUACAGAAUCCAAUAAACGUCAGGAAGAGCAUCACAGCAGAUAGAAUGAUGAGAACUAACCUCCUACAAAACCACACAAUCUCAUAAAAAUAACGACAUAUGUUUAAAAAAAAAAAAAAGGAAGAUGAAAUUGAAGAGUUAUUGCAUCUUAUAAAACCUAUUACUAUUACUUACACGAUAUCAAGAACAUGUUCGAUUUUAUCUUGAUUGUCUUCAGUUUUUUCUGAAAGGUCGUAAGAUGACGUGUUCAAUUUUGUCUGUAUCUCAUCAAUGUCUGAUUGGACUUGAACGGGUAAGAACACUUGGGCUACAGCUAUUUUCUUUGCAGAAGCAAGAUCAUCUGAUAAAUUCCUAAGUUUCUCUGCAGUUGUAUCUGCUUGACGUACAACAUAUUUUAAUGUUUUGUUUGUACUAUGAUGAAAUUUUGCUUGACCCGUGUAUAAAACAACACAUCCAACACUGAAAAAGAUCCAACAAGAGCCCAUUAAUUAGUUCACUUUAACCAUAUCAAAUACAAUAAAAUUAUCACUCUAUAAAUAAAUAUAUGAACACAAAAUACAAUAAAAAUACGUACAUUGCAACAACUGUAAAGAGGAUGAGGAGAAUAAGAGACAAUGCAUAAGCUAAUUUGGAAUAGCCAUAUGGUUCUCGUGUACAGCAACAAUAACAGAGGCAAAUCAGUGAUAAGCAAAGCCCAAAUAUCACAAACCACGCUAAAGCCAUGAUAAAGAAUGGCGCAGCAGUAAACGCAACAGACUGCAAAAAAAUAAAUAAAUUAUCACAUUGUCAAAUUACAUAUAUGCCCCUAUGAUAGGGUAAAAGUACAAAUAUAGUUCGUGUUAGGAAAGAAAGUUAUCCUUUUAUUUCGUUUAAAAAAAUAUAAAGGUGAAAGUUCAUAAAAUUAACUAAGUUUUCUUCUAACAAAUAUGCUCAAAACAAGGAUUAUAAACCAAAAAAGAGAAAAUUUGUUUAUUUUCCAUUUAAUGUUGAUGGUAGCAAGUAGAAUAAAUCCAUGUGAUUUGGAACAAAACUAUGAUUAUUUAAAUGAAACACUAUUGAUCUAUAACAAUUUAACGUUAUAGUAUGAAACAGAGAUUCUUAAAUUAUUUGAUUAAUGAUUAUGUCCACAUGUUGGAUUUACAAAAUAUUGUCAGUUUAAUAUUCAAGGAUAUGGACCAAAGCUUCACACCGUGUCCUUUAUUCAAAGUCGCCUUUUUUUAUAUUGCCAGCUAAAAGAGGGAUUAAGUAAUAAUAAUAUACUUGCUCCUUUUGACUUUAAAUAUAUGCAAAAUUUUAAAAUUCAAAAUUCGAAAUUCUGAUUCUACUGAUACAAGCACAUAAACUUAACCUGUUUUCUACCCCUUGUAAUCUAAUUUGAUGGAUAUAUUGGAAUUAAUAUAUCUGUUUUUGACCAAUUUUUACUCCUUGUUCUCAAGGAUACAUUAUUAAUUCUUAAAUAUGAGACCCAAUUAAUAGAGCUAGCCUACUAAAAGGAUUUAUCUUUGAUUAAAACUAAAUCCAAAAUCAUUUUGUUUUAAAGCUAUUUCCAUUAAAUUCUGGUUUUUUAGCCCUGCAAAUCUAAAUAAAUGUAUUUUACGUUUUACCAGAUAAUCAUGGAUUUUUUUAAGGAGAAAAACCGUUUUUUAUCCUUUUCUUCCAAAAAAAACUUGGAUUAAUGGGUUCUCUAGGCUCUACACCUACAAAAUCUUAGAUAGUUUCUGGAUUUAUUUUCAUAAAUUACAUAACCUUAUCUUUGUUUUCCUAAGAAACAAACAGAUUAAUGGGUUCUUUAGGCGUAAUUUCUGGGAUUUUUUUUCACUAUUCUUCCCUAGGGCCCCAAAAAUAUCAGGUUAAUGGAUUUCAAUGAUGAAGCAAACAUUGAGAAGAUCAAAUUAAGUCAAAGAAAGCACGCUGUAUGCAUAAAAUUGUAAAUAAAUAAAUAAAACUUACACCCCAAUAAUGUUUCUCACUAAUGUUCCAUCCUCCUCUGUAUUUUUUUAAACCAUUGAGUGGAUCUUUUCUUGCUGUUCUUUCUUCAGCCAACACAAGUGAUGAAUUCACAUCAUUUUGCUCUUCAGCGAGUAACCUUUUCGUUCCCCAAGUUUCCGAAAAAUCAUUAAUCCCCCUUUGAUUUUCUCCUGCAAAAAGAAUAAUAAUCAUCAACAGCAACAGCAACACAGAUCUCGAUACUUUGUAAAAUCGGUUUAGGAAAACCGAGAACAGACUGUAGAUAAUGAAACAAUCGUUUUGCAAAAUCGCUUAAACCCCAUGUAACUUUCACGGGAUAAAUGCAAAGGUUUUGGGGGAUAAAAGGAAGUACCUGAAGUGGGUGUGUUGAAGGUAGAAAAAUAGGGUUCGCCAUUCGCGAAAACGAAGAACAGAGCAACAAGAAGAAGCAGAAAAGCAAAUGGGAGUGUGUUCUUGGUUGAUUGCAUUGUGAUUAAAAGUUCUUUCGAGGAGUUUGAACGAAUUAUCAACACUGCAGCGUCAGAAAAUACUUUGCAACCCUGGAAUUGUGAGUGGAACAAAAGUGAUGCGAAGAAGAGAGAAAGAGAGAGAGAAAAAUGUGGUGUAGAUAUUAGAACUGUCGGAGACGUGGCAUAAAGGGUUUAAACGUUGUUUUAUUUUUUAUUUUUUAUUUUUAAAUACACUCUCUCGUUCGUAUGUAUGUUAAAAAAUUGAUUUAUACGCAUAAAAUAUAGUAUAUUUCAUUUAUUUGUAUAAUAACGUUAUUUAAUUUCUGUGGACGAAUAUUUUUUUUAGAUAAAUCUUCGUGAAUUGUCCUGUGGUUUUAAUUUUUUAGUAUUUAAUUUUUUUCGGUCUUGUGAAAAGUCUGUGAUUUUAGUAUUUCAUUUAUAUAAUAUUAAGUUUAGUAUUUAAUUUUUUUUGGUGUCAUAGAAGGUCCAUAUGAUUUUAAAAUUUUUUAGAGACGGUCUUCAUGGCUAACAUUGUCUAUUUUAGUUUGUUAAGUCAUAACAUGUGCGAUGCAUGUGAGUGCAAUAUCGUCUUUUACAAGCUAUAUAGAUCAUUCAUGAAGUUUUGUUUUAAAACCCAAAUCCAUGAAAAUUAUUGAAUUCAACUCAGAUUUGAAUCACCUAUACACAAGGGUAUCACACAACAAAUCCUCCAUAAAUUUAUGUAAAUUGGAAAACGGUUAUUGUCCUUUAUUUCUUUAUAGACCUCAAUGAGACAUCAUACAUUCAUGGCAAUGCCAAUGGAUUAUCCUCCAUUCACGUUGCUCAAUGAUUGUAUUGUCAAUUCCCAUGUGUUGUUGAUCUCUCCAAUAACCCUUUUGAUCGUUGUUUUUCCUCACCACUAAUUAUUUUGAUUUUUGUCAAGAGUUGCAAUAGCUCAAAACGAUUUAGUGUACAUUUAAAAGUUUUGGGGACAGAAUCAGAAAUGUGGUUCGUUAAUAACACUCACAAACUUGUAAGAUCUUACAACGACACUAAAAUCAAAACAAUAAUAGGCGGUUUGGAUAGUCAAUCUCCCUGAUUUCAUGACCCUAUACAUGCAUCUCAUUUUCUUACUAUCCUUGCUAUGCUUAAGACACGGAAAUACCAGGUCAAUGCACGUGUAAAUACCAAUUCAACAGGAUCUCAGAAAUAUCGAACUUUUAGUUACUUAACCUAUACUAUAUAUACACCUGUAAAACACACACAACGGGCACAAUCUUUUGACACCUUACAGCCCUAGAGCUAGGGAAACACUUGUAAUCGUAUUUCAAUCAUUAUCUCUGUAAGUUACAUUCAAAUCAAUAAGAUCGUAUAAGGCAAAUGAUCAUUAUAACCUCCCAAUGUUUUAUGUCGGAGAUCCUAUCAAAGAUCAAUGGCGUUCCUUGUAAACCACUCGUAUUAUUUUUAUCUCAGUUUAGUACUCAGAUUAUUCACAGCACCACACCCUCUUAUAUACCUUGGUUGAUAUCCAUUUGAUCGAUUUUUUACCAAAACAAUUUGGUGCCUGCCGUGAGGUCGUAGUAUUCGUAACCGUCCAAAGAUCGUUGUUGGGGGUGCAAAGUUAUUCAUGAAGUGACUUGUAAUGGUUUGACUCUUGUAGACCCACUUGCAUAUGGGAUUGAUUCCUUGUGUGUAACACCCCGUUGUUCAAGUAUUUUUAAAUUCAUCCUUAUAAUUUAAUUCAUGUCAUUUUGGUCCCUAUAGUAGAAGGAAGUCGCCAUGAGAAUACCUAAUGGCAAAACCGUAAUUUGGAAGGAAUGGGAGUACACCAUGCGUACGUGUGUAUGCUUAGCAUACUAGGGCGUACCCUAGUAUGUUGGGUGUACGUUUACGUACGCGUGGCGUACUCAUCAGAUGUUGGAAACCCUAAAUUUUAGGGUUGAGCCCUAUAUAACUGUUGGAUUAGGUGUCUAAGCCCAUAACUAUAAUUGGUAUGUAUUUGACCCGAUAGUAGCAUGGUCCUUUUGGGUCACAUUCACCAGGGCAAUUUGAUAUGAUGGUGAUAUGUGCAUAUUUAUACAACAUACAUUAAUAUUUUUAUUACUUUUAUCCCAUUAUAUGAACAAAAGAUACCUAAUUUUCUAUGAAUUAUGUUGUAGGGACUAAAAGAAAUGCUUGGAGAAAAAACGAAGCUGGAAGUCGGACUAAAGAAGUUGGAAGAUGGAAUUUGGAACCAAAGCUAAAAAUGAAGAAAAAUAUACCUACCACGUCGUGGUAAUCGCACCACGCAUGGCGACUUGAAGAAUCCCAAUCAGCUUCGAAGACUUGGAGAAUACGGGAUAAAUAUGACCACCACAACGUGGUGCCCUGAUUUCAGGAAAAGUAUAAAUAGAACACAUAAAUCUCCGAAUGGGGACUUUUGGCUUUGGAGAAUUGGAUACUUUUUGAGGCAAAACACUAGAAUUUAAGCUUGGAAGCAAGGAUUUCAAUCACAACCAUUGGAAGGAAGAGCAUUAAGGCAAUUGAACUUACACUUCGAUUUUUCUUUGAUUUAGCCAUGUCUAACACCUUGAAUUUAGUAUUUGUGAUUUUAUUUGCUGAAAUCAUGAGCUAAACACUCAUGACUUUCGUUUAGCUUAGGAUGAGUUGAAUAUUGUUAGUUGAUUUUAUGGUUUGGAUUUAGUUAUUUAUUGAUUUAGCUUAUUAAAUAACCUCAAGUACUUUUGAUAACUGCUUUCCUCUACUUAUUGCUGAAUUUGAUUAAGUUAGUAUGACUAUCUCUCUUAAUUAGAUUUGAAUCUUAUGAUCUUGUGAUUUGCAAAGUUGUAGGACUAGAGUUUUGAAUAAAACCUAGGAUUAAGUAGUAAAGUGGAUAAAAGAGUAUAGAAGCCAAUAUAUGACGAAAAAUCAUAUAUGAAAUUGAAUCAACAAACUAAGUUGGUCAAUUAAUUAUAAGUCUUAUCAAUUCGAAUUGAACACUAGUAAGUUGGUAAGUUUGUCCGCAUGAUCACCGAAUAAAUAAGCUAGUUUGCUAAAGGAUUAAAUUAGUGAAUACUACUUUGGUCAUCUUAGGAAUCGGUAACUAAAGAAACUAAAUCCAUUGCACUUCCAUAAAUCAACUACAAUAACAACGAAUCCGAAGCUAAAUGAAAGUCUCUUUCUCACCUUGGUACAUUCAUACUUGUCUACUUGCUUAGUUUAGUGUUAUUNUAAUUAAGUAAAUUUUGAGUUAGUUGGUAAUUAAGUAUCUAGUCUUGCAAAACUAGGAAAACAUAUACCUUUUCUUAUUUGAUUAAUAGGUAGUUAAAUAGUAAAAUAAAGUAAUUUAAACACCGUUCCUUGUGUUCGACACUCAUUCUUACCAUUGUUAUACUAUUGCAAAAUUAGGUACAUUGCCUAGUGUGUUUAAUAGUCUAGCGAAGGGAAUAACUUUUAUAAAUUAACGUGGAUAAAAUAUAAACACAUUAAACUCACAUCAGAUGGAUAUUUGAGAAAGAGAUUAUUUGUGAUUUAUUAAUAUAUUAUAAGUAUAGUAUAUUAAUUGAGAAAUCAUAUUAUUAAUUAAGGUUGAUUAAGAAUUAGUUUGGAAUUAAUUUAGUGAUCAAAGAGACUAAUUAAAUUAACGGGGACUGAUUAUGUAAAUUAGUGAUACAUAUGGUUUGGGUUAUUGAUCCAUGAUGGACUAAGUGUAUGUGAGAGUCCAUGAAGAGUUAGUCCAUAUGAGUUAUUGGGUCAUAAGCCUAAGUGUGAGAAUUAGGGUUUACAUAUGCCUCUUGGAAUUCUACACUAUAUAUGUAUUUCGUAAACCCUAAAAUCGUGACUCGUGUAUUCUAUGAAGAGGAUAACCGAUUUUUGGUGUGCUUAACCUCUCUCUCUCUCUCUCUCAUUAUCAUCCAUUUGUUCAUGGUGUCUUGUGAUUCCAUUAGAGGCAUCACACUUGAGGUGUUGAGCUCUUGAAAGGCCAAAUUCUACAAGCUACAAAAUAGAGGUAUUCAUUUAACUUGAUUUUAUGUUGCACAUAUCAAAUUGUAUUCUAGUUGUAUGCUUCAUGACAUGGAUAAUUUUAUUGCAUGAUAACUAGAGAAAACUUAGAUCCAAAGCGUUAGGGUUGUAUGUGCACCAUAAGGAUGUUAAAGUACGUAAAACCCAACAAUAACACCCCUUAUAACCCCAUUUCACUCACCCUUUCAGCCUCCACCCUCCUUGAGUCGAUCUUGCAAGCCUUAGCCCUUGUGUGUGUUGAGCUUGAGUGUGUGUGUGUGUGUGUUCUUGGUGUUGAAGAAAGAAGAAAGGAUUCUUUGAGAAGCUUUGGUGUGGAAUUCAAGCUUGUAGAUCUGAGAUCUUCAUCUCUUUAGGAAGCACCAGAAGGUAUAAAGCCUUGAACUUUACUUGUAUUUCUUAGAGAUCUAGCCAUAUGGAGUUUUAUGAGUUUUGUCCCUUUUUCUUGGACUUAAUGAGUAAAUGCUACUCUAAGACCAAAGGAGCUGCCUUUUCAGAGGAUUUGAGUUGUGUUAAGUCAUCAAAAUGCUUCCUUCACUCAUUUAGUGCUUGCAUGCAAAGUGUGGAGGUCUUUAGUGGUUAAGACAAACUAGGAAGUUGGUUUUGGGUCUUAAUGAUGCAUGAAAAACCAUAAAAUUGGAAACUUUGUGGUUAAUAUUACUUUCUUGGACUUGGAUAUGGAUUUGGACUGAAUGGAUUAAGCCCUUAUUCGAAAGUUUGCAUGGUCACCGCGUACGUUGGGCGUACCGGGGCGUACGCUGGGCAUAGGUGCUCAGCAGCGCGUUUCUUGGUCAUGGCGGAGUACGUUGAGCAUACAGCUGGGUACGCCGUGCGUACCCAGUCUGUUGGGUUUAGCAAGUUUGGGCCACCUUUUGGGCUUAGAUUCUUGGGCCCUUAUUGGACCAUGUGAGUAUUGGUGUUUUGGGCUAAGUGAAGGGAUGGACUUUAGGGUAAGGCCCAAGUAGAAGUUUGGGCCUAAUGUGGAAAUUUGGGCCGAAUAUAGGCUUUUUGCGAUUACUUCGUUUUGGGCCUUUUUGGAUCAAGAUUUGGGCCUUGGUCUUGGCCCAACUGGGGAAAGGGUAAAGUGGCCUUUUACCCUAAUUAUGGACUAUUAGCUAAGGGUUGUAAUCUAAUUAUUAAUUGGACAAUUAUUUUGUUGUGAUAGCGCGGGGAUUUUAGUGAGCCAGCAACCUGAGACUUUCAGUGUGAUUAAGCAGUAACUUUUCCUCACUCUACUUACGGGUCGAAGGCACCAAGGCCGACCCAUUAGUUGAUAACCUGAUAUUCGUUGAUUUGCUGAGUAUGGAAUAGAUAUGCAUACUAGUUUUGAUAUGCUAGUCUGUGUGACAUCCCCAAAAUCUCGGCCAGAAAAGACCGAUUUUCAUUUAUGCUUUUAAAUAAUUUCAGAGUAAAUCCUUUUGAUUUGAAAGAGUUGCGGAAUUUGUUCCCAAAAACAAAACAUGAUAAAACAAUGUUUACCAAAGCAUUUCAUAAAAGAAAUGUAUUUUCAUUAUAUAAUCAAAACUCGGGGUGUCAUGUUCCGAUACAGACCAAUAAGCAUAAACGAUAACAUUACAAGUCAUUCAACAAAUAUAUACAUAUACAGACUUGUAAACAAAACAACUUGAUGGUUCAUCCAUCUUAUGCCCUCGCGCCACUUCCUGUAAUACAAAUAAAACUGAGUGGGCAGGCUUGGGAGCCUGAUGAGCAUAUAGGGUUUUCAACCCACAAUAAAUAAUUAUAUUUAAUUCCACCAACCAACAAUAACCCAAUUACCCAUUCCCGUUAUUCUCACUUUAUGUCCCUAAAAUAACUAACACAAGGGACCUAGUCUAAGAAUAUUUCAUCGGGGCGACAACACAUGCUUCGGGGGUUCCUCAGCAAUAUAAGUCAAAUAAGGCAACCAUGAGGGGGAUGGAGUACAGCGAAUGAACACCCAAGUUCAUUAACACCUACAGGUGGCGAACCUGCUAAUGUUUCCACAAGACUGUCUAGAAAAGUCCGUGGUCGUCAUCUAAACUCCGCUAGAUGACUAAAUCAAACAACAACGAGGCCUCUCAUCUGUUUAUUACACACCAACUAUCUACCCAUGUUCUACCCAACAUAUUAGUAGAUAAAAAUAUACAUUUUUAUACAUAGUUUAAAAACCUGUAUAGCAUGCUUUAAUCAAUACAUAUUCCACAUAACAGAUGAGGCACACACACAUAACACGUAUUUCAUAGAGAAUAAAUCAGAUCUAUGAGAUAGAAGAAAGUGAAUACACAUUCACACAUAUAAACAACAAUAUACUUAAUACACUCAAACCAUACUUGUAUUAUUAUCGUGUUUAUGAAAGGUAGUAUACACUCACUUGAUCAGAAGAUGAUCGGACAGCACUACGACUUGCAGAAGUAGUAAUCCUCAGCAGAUCUGGAAGAUCUUCACAAAAAUCGAACUUCUCGCGGGCAGAGCUUCGGUUCGAGAACCGCACUUCUCGGGAUCUUCGGGAUCUCGGGACUUGCUUCGGGGCUCGAGAAUAAUACGGGGCUUCGGGGUAUUUCUGGCACACAAAUCGAUGCAAAACGGGAGAGAGAAGAGAGAAAAGAGCAAAAGAACUCGGCUGCCCUCGCAUCCUAUUUAUAAGAGGCUGGAGCCUCGGAGUAUGCGGGGCGUACUGCUCCGAAAUCGUCACUGCUUACGUAUCCGAAGUGCGCGAGUGCGAGUGUCGACAUUCCUCGGUGUACGCGGGGCGUACUUCGGAUCAGAUCGGUGACUCCUUCGGAUACCCAUCCGAAUUAAAGAUUAAAUUUAAAUACAAAUAAUUUAAUAAACUUCGGAAAUUCAUAUCUUCUUCAUACGAACUCCGUUUUCGACGUUCUUUAUAUCCACGCGAAGGUGAGACUACGCUCUACAACUUUCGUUUAGACUCUGUCGGCUAAUUUUAACUUUAUUUUUAUUAUUUAUUUUUAAUAGGCCGGGACAGAAAACUUCAUUAUAAAUUCAUAACUUCUUCGUUUGACGUCCGUUCUCGCCUAACUUUUCAUCGCUUCGAUACCAACAACGAGACCUUCGAUCCUCGUUUAGAUUGCUUUGGCUAAAAACCACUCGAUCUCAAAUCGAGUAUUUCAGGCUGCAUACCGCUAAGUCGAAACUUCGAUAAAUCAUAACUUCCUCAUACGAAGUCAAAUUUGGGUGUUCUAUAUAUAUAUUCGGAAACCUCGUUUCAACUACUACAACAUCAACCAAAGAUAUCAAGUUUAUUUUACAUUUAAAUUUUGACGAUUAUUUUUAUUCUUAAUUAAUCAAACCACAUAAUUAAGCAAUUAAGCACAAAACACAUAAUACUCAAAUAAUACAAUCUUAUUAUUUCAAAACGGGUUACAAAGGUUAACCUAGAUCAUUACAUUGCUAAAAAUGGCUAGCCCGGAAACACAGGCGUUACAGUCUGGUAGAUCUGUAGGACUACCUAUGAUACUGUCUUAUUAUCUAUGUAUGUUAUUAUCUAUUAUAUGUCGAUAUAUUGUGUGGGUUGGGCUGAGGUAGUACUGCUCCGUGCGGUAGCCAACAAACCCUGGAGCAAACCAGAUAUGAGUUGAGGGUCAGGGAGGGUAUGCCAGACUCAUACUGUAGCCUCAUGAGCAUUCAGAUACGAGUUGAGGGCCAAGAAGGGCAUGCCAUACUCGUACUGAGUGCUUAGUGGUAUUCAGUCUAAGGACUGACUUGGCCGGGGAGCAAGCCAGACAUAAGUUGUGGGCUAAGGGCGAUCUAGACUUAUGUUGUGGGCUCAGGGGUAAUCCGGUUUGUUAGUUAUGGACCAAUUGCAUGUUGUUGUUGUAUAUGUGCUAUUUGUUUGUGUGUUGGUAUUUUGGAGGAACUCACUAAGCUUUGAGCUUACAGUUUUGGAUUGUGUUUCAGGUACCUUAGAGGAUCGUGCGAAGGCGAAGGCGUGAUCGAUCGUGCACCUCCUCGUGUUUGGUUUUAUGAUUUUGGGAAAACUCUUAUAUUUAAUAUGUUUUGGAAACUAUUUUGUAAACAAUGAUGAUUUAUGGGUUGUUUUAAAAGUUUAAAUUUUUCAUGAAUUUUAUGGAUGUUACAUUCUGACAUGAGAGAGAGAGAGAGAGAGAUGGAGGUUAGCACCUCUAUAUAUAGUAGGUUGCAUACCACUUGUAGAGUGAGAGAGAGCGAGAGAGAGAGAGAGAGAGAGAGAGAGAGAUGUUCUUUUAAUUCCGCAUGCCAAAUCAAAUGCUCAUAAUUCACUACAUUUGGUAUUAGAACGGGUCUUCAAAGAUCAAAGUGAUUUUUGAAGAAACAGUUCUCGAUUUGGCUACAUUCAACACAAUUGGAACGUUUAUGGUGAGUCUCUCAAUGAUCUCUCAAAAUCUCUUUGAUUCGUGCUUACGUUAUUGAAUAUUUGAUCAUUUUGACUCAUUGGAUCAUUUUUUUUGAAAAACCCAUUUGUUAUGAUCCAAUAAAAUUUCCAUUGAUCAAGGCUGAUUUGAUCCUAUUUUCUUAUGUUUUAUUCAAUUCUCAAUUUGCAGUUGUUCAUUUUAAUCAAAAUCAAGCCCAAAAGUGAAUUGAAUUUGUUAUCUUGAGCCUAAAAUUCAUUUUGUCUAUGAUCCGAUAUCUAGUCUCUUACUGUUCAUAGUCCAUAUAUUGAGCCCAUAAGUUUUUUCUUUCGAUCUGAUAUCUUAAAAGGUUGUACCUAAAAAUCAUUAAACUCGCUGAUUGACUCGGUAUCCUUUUUGGUUCGUCAUGGCUUCACGAAUACGCAUUCUAAUCUUCAUGUCUCAGUUAUAUACCUCGAUCAUGAUUUUCGGUUUUCGUUUUCAUGUUACUAAUAAUAAAUUAGAGCUUGUUCUUGAAUCUAGACUUGUGAAUCAAUUGGAUAUGAUUUGUGUUAUUAUCAGUCGAUUAUGAUCAAGUUGAAGUUAAAAUUUGUCAAUCAAUUCUUUGGUUUUGAAGAACUUGACCAGGAAUGGUUGAAUAAUCACUUUUUGAUCUGAAAUUAGAUGUUAGCAUCAUCAAUUUUGUGUUUGUUGACCAUUGAAUUCGAAAAGUCAAACUCGAAAAAAGUAGUCAAAAUCAGAUUCUCAAGUGUCUAUUCUAUGAAUUGAAGGUUGAAAUUGGUUGAUACAAGUCAAACUUGGGUUGUUAGAUGUCGAAAUAGUGUUUGAUUUGAGUCGAAUUUCGAAAUUGGUUGGGUUCAUGGACUUGAUGUUGAGCACUGUGAAUGGGUUCAUGUUCGCAUCUUGAACGUGAUUUGGAAAUUGAACCUCUUGUGGUCAAUAUUAAUGUCGAACGAUGGAGUCUUGUAACUCAAAAAGGAGUUAAUUUCGACAUAUAGGGUCAAAUUUGGUUUGGAAUUGGAUCAUGGUGUUGAACGUAUUUGGAAUGAUGUUGAUUUGAGAAUGAAGGGUUGUAUUUGUGGUCAACAGAUAAAUUUUGGAGUCGAUUGUUGCUUGGGUUAAUUGAUGUCGAAAUCAGGUUCAAUUUGUGGUGAUUAGCUUGAUGUCGAACGCUCCAAACCAGUUUGAUAUGUGAAUAAAGUGAUUUGGCAUUUGUGGGCACAAUCGUGUUUUGGUUUUGUGGGUCAAAAUCAGUUUCGCAUAUGAGGUUGUAUGGAUUAGGUUGACGGUCAAACAAGGCUUCGCAUCUAAGAUAGAUGAUUGGGUUGGUAUCAGAUGGUUCGUUCGCAUCCAUGGAUCGUAUGUUCAAUGUGCGAAAGUCUUCAUAUGCAACUGGAAUGCGAAGUGAAAGGAUUGUUUCAUUUCGUAUCCCUGAACUUUCAAGGAAGUGACAGUUUUAACACACUUUCGCAAUGGGGGUCAUAAAAUGUGAUAAAUGUUGAAUUUUCAUUUCACAUACCUACAGUUUAUGCGAAUUGGCAAAUUUUACCCAGUUUUUCAUUUGGGGUAAAAAUUUUGAGAAAUUAGAAUAUUUUCGAAUCAGGUCCCUACAGUUGAUGCGAAUUGACACUUUAUGCCCAGUUUCGCAUUUGGGGUAAAGUUUCGCAUUUGAAAGUUAUUUUGGCACAACGGGUCCCUGUAUAAUUUCGAAAUUGACAGUUUCUACCCGGAUAUUUGAAAUUUAAGUCAAAGGCGGUCCGAGAAGUAUCAAAUUUGAAAAUUAUGACAUUUUUGGAUUUUCCGAAUUUAUGCAAAACGUUUAUGCCAUGUGUUAAGGGAGAGUUUUGUAUAUAAAAUUCGGAAUUGAGCGCUUUCUCAUUCCUUUUCGGUUUUAUAAUCAUUUUUUUAUUAUAAAAAGGGAGAGAUUUAAAUAUGAGAAUUCGAAAGUUGUGAAUUUUUCAUAUUACGCGGACUUGAAGAUCGAUGUGACCUUGAGCAAUCGAAGUUUAUGAAGUGAUUCGAUUUGAGAUUCUGAAGUGAUUUGGGUUUUUCCCGGUUCGUGAUGGGUUUGGACUUAAUGAAGAUUUUUAGAGUGUACUUUUAUGCUCAAAUUUGGGUAAUCUUGUGGAGGUUUGGAUACUCCUAAUUACCUUUUGAUGAUCGGUUUGUAAGGCCUCACACUCUAGAACCCAGAUUGGAAAUUCAUUGAAGAAUUGAAGAUUUGAAGUUCAUUUCUACAUUUUGUCACGCUUGAGGCUUAGUUCGUGAAGUUGCUCAUUUUUGGAAGAUUGAAGCGGGUCAUCCAUUCCUAACUUUGAGGGGGGAAUGUUAGGGUGCAAAGUUAUUCAUGGAGUGACUUUGUAAGGGUUUGAAUCUUGUAGAACCACUUGUAUAUGGGAUUGAUUCAUUGUAACAUGAGUGAGUGAGUGAAAGAGAGAGAGAGAGAGAGAGAGAAGGACAUGUUAGCACCUCUAUAUAUAGUGGGUUGCACACCACUUGUAGAGUGUGCUUGAGAGAUGUAGUUCAUUGUGACUAGUGAGUGUAAUAUUUAUGUAGAGUUAGAUCUAGAUCCCUUUUUGUACUCAUUUACUAUGAUCGAAUACAUAUUUUAGCACCCAAAUCACCAUGUUCUUUGUGCUCUUUUAAUUUCGCAUGCCAAAUCAAAUGCUCAUAAUUCGCUACAAUUAUGUCUACCCAACCAACUUUAUCCUCUUCCUCUAUUCCUCCCAUUUCCUAAAAAAACCUUCCCCCAACUCCGAGCAGACCUCCUAAAAAGACUUCUAAUGCACCGAAGGAAAACACUUCCCCAACUGUUACCCAAGGAUUUCAAGAUCCUCCUGUAGAGAUCUCUAAUAACGAACUCUCUGCCAUGAUGAAGAGAUUGGAACAACAAGUAUCUCGACAAUAGGAGGACAACAGGAUGAUGAUUAAUGAAAUGGAAAGAGUGAGGACGGAGAUCUGUAAACCUCAUAAAGCAGCACCCUGGAUCUUGCAAUCCAAGAUCCUGAACUUUGAUAACUCAGGAUCCUCAGGGGAUCGCCGAGAGAUCGGAUCCUCAACGCUUACCAUUUAUCCUGCUUGGGGUGUAACUCGAAAUAAGUGAUCUCCUAUAAUCCAAGAUCCCAAUGAAACCUUCUUUACUCUUAAUAACAAGGAUCCUGGUAACUUCGUGAAUAAUAAUACCUUUAGUACUAACUCCAUAGAUUUCAAUGCAGGAACAAGUCCGGUCAUGGCCAAAGAACUUCAACAGCUAAGGAAGAUGAUAUCAAGUGUACCAGGGAUAGUCCAGCCUAUGCCCGAAGUAUCUCUCACCAGUCACAUGACCUAGAGAUUUGCUCCUGUGAUAGCUGAAACUGAAGUCUUAAAACGUUUCCAAACUCCCAAUAGGAAACCUUAUGAUGGGACUACAGAUCCUGAAGACACACAUGACAUAAUAUAGGGAAAGAAUGGAGAUCAUCCCCAUUCCCUUACACUUGAAAGAAGCUUGCAUGUGUAAGGGUUUUGGUUCGAACCUCACAGGAUUAGCCUUAAAAUGGCUACUUAAUGUUCCUCCUUACUCUAUUACUUGAUGUGCACAUUUUUUUUUAACAAUCAAUUUUCUUGUAGCAUAACUUUUGAAAUAUCACUAAAGAUCUUUAUCGGGUAAUCCAGGAUCCUAAGGAAUCCCUUAGGGACUUGUGAAUAGGUUUGGAAGGGAAGCCUUAACUAUCCCUAACAUUAAUAUGACAACUAUCGUAGAAGCACUCAAAAUGGGACUGAAGAAGAACUCUCAUUUUAAUGAAGACCUUGUAAUGACUCCAUGAAAAAGGAUGGACGAAGUCAGGAUUAGAGCAUUAAGGUUUAUCAGGUUGGAAGAGGACAAAGAGAUCAAGAAGAGGAACAACCCUCUUAACUCAUACGAUAACCCCAAUAGGAAGGCCGACUCCUCGGUCCAAAGAUCUUAUAAGUCAAAACCUUAUUCCAAACUUGGUCAUCAUAGGGUUAAUGCCCUUGAGGAUGAAGAAGAGGAAGAUGAAUUCCCCAAGACCACUGAUUAUUAUUUUUCUGUGGAUGUUUUAGGUAUAAUCUAUGUUAUGCAGGAUCUCGGCGACAAAGCAAGGUCGCCAUGGAAAGGAAAAGUCCACCGACAGGAGGGAUAAGUCUGAGUAGUGUGCAUACCACGAAGACUUCGUCCACAUUACAAAGAAUUGUAUAGCUCUCGGGAAUAAGAUCUAUUACCUCUUAAGCAAAGGAUACGUCAAAGAGAUCCUAGGAAGAAGAAAUGAAAUAUCCAGAGAGAAAGACCAGGAUCCGCCUAAGAUCUCGGAAAAGUGAGGAUCCCCUCCUUCGGAUGGCAAGGUAAUCAAUUUUAUUUACGGAGGAUUUGAUAUCUGUGGAACCUCUAAUUUUGCAGUUAAAAGGCACGCCAAAGUGUCCAAGACGGCAAAGGAAGAAAGACCCCAAAAAAGUACAUCGAUAACAAAUAGCAAAGAGAUCAUCUUUGACGAACAGGAUAGAGAAAACAUCCUGGAUUAUGGUAGACAGAGGAUCCUCAAUGGCUAUUAUACUUUUUGAUUCUCUAACCAAGAUGAACAUAUCAGAAUAAAAAAUAAUCAAGAGAUCAUUGGUCAUAAUAUGAUUCGGUGGUGAAACAAAGCACACCAUUGGAGAAAUCAAGUUACUCAUCUACAUUGAAGGGGUAAAUUCGAUACAACCUUUUUUGUGUUAUUGAUGCUUUGUCUUCCUAUAAUGUUAUAUUAGGCAGACCAUGACAUGAAAGCGAUCCCAUCAACUUACCACCGGUGCAUCAAGAUGCCUACCUCAUGGGGAACAAUGAAGAUUGUCAGGGAUCAGCAAGAAUACAAACAAUGCUACAACACCUCAAUGAAAUCUUCAACAGUACCACGACAAGAAUAACAAUUAAAGCAGGGGUAAUGAGGUGUGCUAGAGACUAGAGAGCAAGACGUAAAGGAAGUGCCCCUAAACCUUAAGGAUCCUGAAGCCAAAUUCCUCAUAGGAUCCUUAGUACCAUAGCAAAUUGAGCAAGAACUAAUAAAGUUCCAAAAAGAUAAAAACAAGACCUUCGGUUGGAAGCACGAUGAUAUGACAGGUAUAGAUAAUAAAAUUAUAACUCAUAAACUCAAUAUAGAUCCUUCUUUCAGCCCUAUACACCAAAAAAGAAGGAAAUUUGCAUCUGAGAGGAACCAAAUCAUUUAAGAAGAAGUUGGAAAACUUCUAAAAUUAGGGAUGAUUAAAGAAGUGAAGUUCCCAAUAUGGCAAUCCAACGUAGUGGUGGUCCAAAAGAAGAAUGGAAAAUGGAGAGUGUGUGUGGAUUACACAGAUCUCAACAAGACAUAUCCUAAGAAUCCUUUCCUUUUACCAAACAUAAACUCAAUGAUAGAUGUCACGAUAAGACAUGAGUUAAUGGCGUUCAUAGACGCUUCAAUAGGAUUCCAACAAAUACAGAUGGAAACAUCCGAUCAAGAGGAUACUGCAUUCAUAACCCCUACAUGUAUAUUGCUAUAUUGUCAUGUAUUUAGGUCUUAAAAAUGAAGGAGCAACAUACCAGAGGCUAGUAAAGCAAAUGUUCAAGGACAAAUUAGGGGACACCAUGGAAGUCUAUAUUGAUGACAUGGUGGUCAAAUCCAAGAGAGCUGAAGAUCACCUCAAGGAUCUUGAAGAAGCCUUUAAUAUACUAGACGGGUAUAACAUGAAGUUGAAUCCUUCCAAAUGUCACUUUGGAAUGAAAUCUGGCAAGUUCCUAGGUUAAAUGGCAAUUAAAAAGGAAUAGAAGCAAGCCCAUAACAGAUGAAGGCCAUCAUUGAUCUAAAAUCCCCAUCCUCGACCAAGGACAUUCAAAAACUAACAAUAAGAGUGGCAGCCCUAUAUAAAUUCAUCUCAAGAUCCUCAAAGAGGUGUAAACCUUUCUCUGACACCUUGAAGAAGAAUAAAAGAUUCGAGUGGACCAAGGAGCAUGAAGAUGCCUUCCAGGAACUUAAAAAAGUAUUUAAGUUCAACACCUCUAUUGGUAAAACCAUUAGAUGGAGAACCACUCCUACUCUAUCUUUCAAAUGUUAUGAGAAAAUCUGAGAUGCCAGGAAGAAUGGCAAAAUGGUAUGUGAAGCUAAACACAUAUGACAUCAAGUAUGAACCAAGAUUGGCGAUAAAGUCGCAAGCAUUAGCAGACUGUGUGGUCGACUUUAGUGAUGUAACCCAUGUAAAGUCCCAAAAAUUACAAUAAAUUUAAAGUUUUUAAAUCUCCAUUUAUUUAAUAUAAAAAUACUAAAAUAGAGUUCAUUUCACCAUUAAUAAAAACCAUAAUCUUUAACCAGAAAUAAUCAUAAUAAUAACAUUCAACUAUGUUCCAAAAACAAACGGUUAAAAGUAGCGGAAUAAAGUUAAUCAAAUCAACAUUCUAAAAUAAAACAUAAAGUUGUGCCCGCAUGUACUUCCCUUUGCUACAUAACAACACAUGCAAUGUAAUCACGCUAUGCCCUUCCCUUUUCUACAUAAAGCACCUGAAACAUUUAAACUUUAAGCCGUAAGCACAAAGCUUAGUGAGUUACACAAAACACCACAUAUCACACAAAUAACAAGCCUAACCUAACGUGUUUGUUCACUCACGCGGGCCCAACCCAACGGGCCUCUCCCAACAAACAUGUAAGCAUAUAAACAACUAGCUAUAUAUACAACAAUCAUACAUCGACACCUAGUGUCCUAUAUAGUAUAGUAAUAAGAUUCACUUGAAUCAAAGACCUGAAAUGAUAAUACUCAAAGUCACGCACAAUCAGCUACAAGCACCACCUAAACCAAUCAUAGGUCAAACCUCCGUCUAUAACAUAAAACGCUUAGUUUGACAAAAAGUCAAACUGACCAAAAUGUCAAUAAUUGUAACAUCCCGAAAUAUCAAGAGUGGAGUUGAAGGGCUAAAAGAGUAAAUUGGGAAAGAGCGACUCGGCGAGUCCAUGGGUGGAAUCGGCGAGUAGAGUCGCGACUUGGUCGCGUGUUAAGUAGCCGACUCGGCGAGUCAGUAAGAUGGACUCGACGAGUAGGCGCUGAAUGGAGAAAACCCUAAUUCUCGGGGUUGAGCCCUAUAUAAGGAACAUUAUGUUUCCUCCCCAGCCUCCUUAUCACCCCUAGAGUCCCAGAAACCCUAAUUUCGUGGAGAGACCCCAUUGUUGAGCAAAUUGGAGCUUGGAGAGGUGGUUGUUGAAGAGAUCUUGAAGAGGAAGAGGCUUGGAUCAAAGGGCUUUGCAAGGAUUUGGGUUAAUUUUCUCUUGGGCUUCCUUUUUGAGGUAUCAUUCCAUUGUUGAGCUAUUAUUGUCUAGAUUCUUCAUUUUGGGGGUGUUAGGAAUCAUAUCUUUUGGGGUUUUGGAGUUUAAAGGUUAGAUCUGAGGUUGCUACCUCAGAUCUGGAGUGGAGAAGGGUUGGAAUGCCUGAAAGUCUCUGUGUUCAAGUGUGUAGUGAAGCUAUCAUGUCCCAAACCCUAGCCCUAAGUGUUAAAGGUCUAGAUCUCCUUGGAUUCACGUAAAGUUUGCCACUUUACGUGAUGGAUGGGGUGUAGGAGGCUAGAUCUAUGUUUUGGAUCAAUUGCAUGGCCUGGAGUGCUCCUGUAUGGAUUCAGACCGGUGGUACUCGGCGAGUCACAUGGGUGGACUCGACGAGUUGCUUGAAGAUGAGCUGGAACUCGACGAGUUGGAAGAACAACUCGGCGAGUUGGAUGAAGAUGGCCUGGAACUCGGCGAGUUGUAUGAACAACUCGGCGAGUAGGUUGAAGAUAGCCUUAGACUCGGCGAGUCUGUUCUUGGACUCGGCGAGUCUUGUCGAAGAGUCCCAAUAUUUUCUGGUUGAGUCGAGAAUCGGCGAGUCAAGGGAUGACUCGGUGAGUUGUGGGCGAGUGGACUCAGAGUUGUUGGACUCGACGAGUCUCGGGGUGACUCGGCGAGUUAGGUCGCGGAUUGAGGGAAGUUCUGAGUAUGGGGACUCGGCGAGUCAUCGGGUUGACUCGGCGAGUAGAGUCAGUCAGGGGUUGACUUUGACCUUGUCCAAAGGUUGACCAGUUGUCUUUCAGGGGUAUUUUGGUAAUUAAGGGUAUUUAUUGAGUUGAGUGUGUUGGUGUUCAGUGGAGGAGUUCGUGUCGGAGCUUGGAGCAGCGGGAUCUUAUCCUUUCAGCCGGCAGUUUCGAGGUGAGUUAUCCUCACUAUAUCAACAGGGUCUAAGGCACCAAGGCCGGCCCUUAUCGGAUUGAGAUCCGGGUAGUUGUUGUUAUGUUGUUGCUGUGAUAUGUUUGCAUCCUGAGAGCUAGGAUGGUAUAUGUUAGAGACCUGAUUGAGAUCGGUAUCCUGAGAGAUAGGGAGAUGCUAUGCUAGUGACCUGUUAGGUCGGUAUCCUGGUUAGGAUGAUGAUAUGUUAUGUGAUCUGUUUGAUCUGCUUGUUGACUGUGAAUUGCUAUAUGAUUGUAUGUAUAUGUGCACAUGGUUGUUUGGACUGGAGUUGGGUUGAGGCGGGUCCUGCUUUGUGCUGUAGGCCAAGAUACCCAGGGCGGACCGGUUGUUCCGAAGGCCCAGCGAGCGGUCCGGAUAGGCUGUAGGCCCCAAGAGGGCGGACCAGACGUGCCGAGGCUCGGAGAGUGGACCAGACAGACUGAAGGCCCGGUAUGGGCGAACCAGUCAUACUGUAGACUUAGAGAGUGGACCAGGUGGAUUGAAGGCCCGGUGCGGGCGGACCAAUCACACUGCAGACUCGAUAUAUGUGACUAGACUCGGAGGGUGGACCAGGUGGACUGUAGGCCGGUGCGGCGGACCAGUCACACAGUAGACCCGAAAUGCAUGGCUGUUCUGUGAUCAGAUAUGUUGUGGCAUGUUAUGCGUGUAUGGUAUAGUGGUUGAUAUUUUGGGGGUAUCUCACUAAGCUUUCGAGCUUACAGUUGUGGUUUUAUGUUUUUCAGGUUCUUCAGGAGACCGUGGCAAGGCGAAGGCGUGAUCGUACCGCUCCUCAUGAUUUUGUAGUAAUGUGAUUUUGGGAAUACGUUAAAUGUUUUGUAUUGGAAACCUUCUUGUAAAGAUUUAAUGGAAUCGAGUGGUUUUUGAAAAAUUUAAAAUUUAUUGUAUUUUUCGGUUGUUACAAUAAUCAACAAAAGGCAACAGUCAACAACCAUUACUUUGUGACCAACUAUUUCUCACGCCGUGAUUACUAGGCAACAAAACAGUCGCGAGACCCUCAAUGUCGCGUCGUGACACCAAGGUAGUUGCGCCGCUAAACCCAACUUAACAUCCGCCUUUUCCUUAAGGUCAUAAUCUUUCAAGACCUAAACUCUAUCCUUCCAGAACCUAUCAAAACAUGGUCCUAAUGGAUAAAAUUCCAAACUUUUGUCCAUUUAGGUGCCUUAGAUGCCAAAAUAUAUUAACCCAUGUCAAAAGAGACCAAAAUUAAGCCCAUUACCUUGCAUGACGUCAAAUGCAAGAUAACAAUCAUCUCAAUCUGUCACAAAGGGUCCAGAAGACCCCAAGAUUCAACCUUGGGUCUGUAGUUUUCCAAACUCCACCAAAACAACAAGAAAGCACCAGACCCGAGCCAAAAUAGCCCAAAUCUAUCAUUCAAGAAGAAAAAGCAUGUAACUUGAAUGCUCAUAAAGGUCUUAAGUAAGGAAGGAGGGUUGACACUUGUUGCAUUUGACUUGAACAACAAUUUAUUGCAACAAAGAACACCUUCAAGCUUCACCAAAGGGAGAAAACAACUCAAAAACUCAAGAGGAGGCUAGGGUUUGCAUGUGAUGGUUUCUAUGAGAUAGAGGCUAAGUGAAUGAUGAAGCCUAGGGGUUUGUGCCACUAAAUAAGCCCAAAUAUUGAGGCUUCAAGGGUUGGGUCCAUCACGUCGCGAGCUUCAUUAAAGGUCGCACUGUGAAAAAUUUGCAUCGAGACCCUUAACUUGGUUGCGUUGCUACUAAGAGGAAAUCUCUAAACUUAAUGAUUCCAAAACAAUGUACAAAGUUAUACUUGAAAACCGGGUGUUACAAGUAGGAUUCUCAAAACUUAAUGCGGUGUGUGUGGUAUGACUCCUUCUAGUCUUAGUGGUUCACAUAAAAAAUAUAUUUUUCAAUGGUUAAAUCGAAAAAUAACAAAACUAAAAUUUCCCAUAAAUAAGAUGUCAAAGAUUUAAGAAAACAAAUAAUGUCGAUUGAGAUUAUGUGACGACAAAGCAACACACACCGCAUAUAUAAUGCAUUUAGUUGAGUCAUAUCGACGACACACGUGUUGCUUUUAUCGGUAGAAGUUAUAUACAAUUGGACAGAAGAAAAUACAUAAUUGAUUAUAACAUCAUAAAUUAUUUUAUAAAAAAUAUAGCUAUACCAUAAUUAUAUAGUUUUUUUUAUCUUAAAGUGAUAAACUAAUAUUUUUAUAUAAAGUAUUAAAAGGUCACAAACAAUGUUGAUAGAUCAGGUCGUUUCAUGUUUUCGAUCCACUAUAAGACGUCAAUAUCUAAUUCUAUAAAAAUUAAAUAAUAUAUAUCACGUGGAUUGGUGGAUUAACAUUUGUAGUUUCGUUGGGCCUGAUUUAUGAGCAAAAGUCCAAUGCAGUGUUAACGGGCCAGUUCAUGUCCUUUCAUUUCUCAUGGAGUUUUAGGUAUCGGUUCGGAUCUUUAGUAAAAAAUUAAUAGGCAGUUGGAAACCUAAAGAGGUAGAGACAUUUAACUCUUAUUACAAGCUUAAUACAAAAGUUCUAGAAAUUUUAGACAAACAAAAGCAAUGAAAUCAAUUUGAGGACGUUAUUCAAUACCAUAUAUAAUUUUACUGAAUUGGUGAAAUCCUUUAAUUACCAAAGGAACAUUUCAUUAAGAUCUUAACCACUCACCAUAUAAUAUAAUUUAAUGACUGGUUUUCAGCAACCAGCUUGUUUUUAUUGAACAUUUAAAUAAAUUUUAGUCUAAAUAAAGUUGGGUUCCCAAAGGGUGUUAGCUAGGAGAGACAUAACCGACCUUGACAUGUCAAAGACUUUGUGCGAAAAUCAAAGUGAAACCGCAUAAAAUCUUUCUUGUAAAAUAUUAUUAAGUAAAUUUGCUAUCACUAAAUUUAAAACUCAAAGUUGCUAACAAACAUCUCGUAAAUUCAUUACCAUAACAUCAUGUAUCCACUCGUUAGAUGUUAUAGUUUCUAGGAUCAUACGUGUUCUAGUUUCUUGAAUGUAUUUAC
rnacentral:lncRNA from 1 species